rnacentral:lncRNA from 1 species
UGCACUUCGUAGAACCCUCUAAAACUUCCAAGAGGAACUCACCAUCCUCUAAACUAGUAGUGAUGCUCUGGGAAUCAAACCCUUUUCUUUCUCCAUUCACCCCCAAGGCUCCCAACCGAUCAAACCACUGAAUAUACCCCAACUACUUCCCCAGCCUUCCUGCAUCCGAAGGCUGAAUAGUUGCUUCUUCAGCCCCACUUCAACAAUGAUCCCUUGGGUGAUCUCUCCUCCAACAUGCCAAACCUGCCCCUUGCUGCCCAUCUUCCUCAGAGAACUUCAUCACCUAACUAUCACACCCUCCAGCCUUUCUUCCUCCAAGGCC